rnacentral:rRNA from 1 species
GCUCAGGACGAACGCUGGCGGCGUGCCUAAUACAUGCAAGUCGAACGAACUCUGGUAUUGAUUGGUGCUUGCAUUCAUGAUUUACAUUUGAGUGAGUGGCGAACUGGUGAGUAACACGUGGGAAACCUGCCCAGAAGCGGGGGAUAACACCUGGAAACAGAUGCUAAUACCGCAUAACAACUUGGACCGCAUGGUCCGAGUUUGAAAGAUGGCUUCGGCUAUCACUUUUGGAUGGUCCCGCGGCGUAUUAGCUAGAUGGUGGGGUAACGGCUCACCAUGGCAAUGAUACGUAGCCGACCUGAGAGGGUAAUCGGCCACAUUGGGACUGAGACACGGCCCAAACUCCUACGGGAGGCAGCAGUAGGGAAUCUUCCACAAUGGACGAAAGUCUGAUGGAGCAACGCCGCGUGAGUGAAGAAGGGUUUCGGCUCGUAAAACUCUGUUGUUAAAGAAGAACAUAUCUGAGAGUAACUGUUCAGGUAUUGACGGUAUUUAACCAGAAAGCCACGGCUAACUACGUGCCAGCAGCCGCGGUAAUACGUAGGUGGCAAGCGUUGUCCGGAUUUAUUGGGCGUAAAGCGAGCGCAGGCGGUUUUUUAAGUCUGAUGUGAAAGCCUUCGGCUCAACCGAAGAAGUGCAUCGGAAACUGGGAAACUUGAGUGCAGAAGAGGACAGUGGAACUCCAUGUGUAGCGGUGAAAUGCGUAGAUAUAUGGAAGAACACCAGUGGCGAAGGCGGCUGUCUGGUCUGUAACUGACGCUGAGGCUCGAAAGUAUGGGUAGCAAACAGGAUUAGAUACCCUGGUAGUCCAUACCGUAAACGAUGAAUGCUAAGUGUUGGAGGGUUUCCGCCCUUCAGUGCUGCAGCUAACGCAUUAAGCAUUCCGCCUGGGGAGUACGGCCGCAAGGCUGAAACUCAAAGGAAUUGACGGGGGCCCGCACAAGCGGUGGAGCAUGUGGUUUAAUUCGAAGCUACGCGAAGAACCUUACCAGGUCUUGACAUACUAUGCAAAUCUAAGAGAUUAGACGUUCCCUUCGGGGACAUGGAUACAGGUGGUGCAUGGUUGUCGUCAGCUCGUGUCGUGAGAUGUUGGGUUAAGUCCCGCAACGAGCGCAACCCUUAUUAUCAGUUGCCAGCAUUAAGUUGGGCACUCUGGUGAGACUGCCGGUGACAAACCGGAGGAAGGUGGGGAUGACGUCAAAUCAUCAUGCCCCUUAUGACCUGGGCUACACACGUGCUACAAUGGAUGGUACAACGAGUUGCGAACUCGCGAGAGUAAGCUAAUCUCUUAAAGCCAUUCUCAGUUCGGAUUGUAGGCUGCAACUCGCCUACAUGAAGUCGGAAUCGCUAGUAAUCGCGGAUCAGCAUGCCGGUGGUGAAAUACACUUUUCCGGGCCUUGGUAAAACACCGCCCGUCACACCAUGAAGAGUUUGUAACACCUCAAAGUCCGGUGAGGUAACCUUCUUAGGAUCCAGCCGCCUAAGAUGGGACAGAUGAUU